CCUACGGGCGGCAGCAGUGGGGAAUAUUGGACAAUGGGGGCAACCCUGAUCCAGCCAUGCCGCGUGUGUGAAGAAGGCCCUCGGGUUGUAAAGCACUUUCAGUGAGGAAGAACGCCUGGUGGUUAAUACCCAUCAGGAAAGACAUCACUCACAGAAGAAGCACCGGCUAACUCCGUGCCAGCAGCCGCGGUAAUACGGAGGGUGCGAGCGUUAAUCGGAAUUACUGGGCGUAAAGCGCGCGUAGGUGGCUUGAUAAGCCGGUUGUGAAAGCCCCGGGCUCAACCUGGGAACGGCAUCCGGAACUGUCAAGCUAGAGUGCAGGAGAGGAAGGUAGAAUUCCCGGUGUAGCGGUGAAAUGCGUAGAGAUCGGGAGGAAUACCAGUGGCGAAGGCGGCCUUCUGGACUGACACUGACACUGAGGUGCGAAAGCGUGGGUAGCAAACAUGAUUAGAUACCCCAGUAGUC
rnacentral:rRNA from 1 species